rnacentral:rRNA from 1 species
GACAGAGGGGGCAAGCGUUGCUCGGAAUUACUGGGCGUCAAGGGCGCGUAGGCGGGAUGGCAAGUCGGUCGUGAAAUCCCUCGGCUCAACCGAGGAACGUCGAUCGAUACUGCUGUUCUUGAGGAUUGCAGAGGAGACUGGAAUUCCCGGUGUAGCGGUGAAAUGUGUAGAGAUCGGGAGGAACACCGGUGGCGAAGGCGGGUCUCUGGGCAAUUCCUGACGCUGAGGCGCGAAAGCGUGGGGAGCAAACGGG